rnacentral:rRNA from 1 species
UACGUAGGUGGCGAGCGUUAUCCGGAAUGAUUGGGCGUAAAGGGUGCGUAGGUGGUUUCUUAAGUCAGAGGUGAAAGGCUACGGCUCAACCGUAGUAAGCCUUUGAAACUGGGGAACUUGAGUGCAGGAGGGGAGAGUGGAAUUCCUAGUGUAGCGGUGAAAUGCGUAGAUAUUAGGAGGAACACCAGUUGCGAAGGCGGCUCUCUGGACUGUAACUGACACUGAGGCACGAAAGCGUGGGGAGCAAACAGG